CGCGUAGGCGGCUUUAUAAGUCAGAUGUGAAAGCCCACGGCUUAACUGUGGAAGUGCAUUUGAAACUGUGAAGCUUGAGUAUCGGAGGGGAGUGUGGAAUUCCCGGUGUAGAGGUGAAACUCGUAGAGAUCGGGAGGAACACCGGUGGCGAAGGCGACACUCUGGACGAAUACUGACGCUGAGGCGCGAAAGCGUGGGGAGCAAACA
rnacentral:rRNA from 1 species